rnacentral:rRNA from 1 species
UACAGAGGGUGCGAGCGUUAAUCGGAAUUACUGGGCGUAAAGCGCACGUAGGCGGCUUUGUAAGUUAGAGGUGAAAGCCCGGGGCUCAACUCCGGAAUUGCCUUUAAGACUGCAUCGCUAGAAUUGUGGAGAGGUAAGUGGAAUUCCGAGUGUAGAGGUGAAAUUCGUAGAUAUUCGGAAGAACACCAGUGGCGAAGGCGACUUACUGGACACAUAUUGACGCUGAGGUGCGAAAGCGUGGGGAGCAAACAGG